rnacentral:rRNA from 1 species
UACGUAGGGGGCAAGCGUUGUCCGGAAUCAUUGGGCGUAAAGCGCGUGUAGGCGGCUCGGUAAGUCUGCUGUGAAAGUCCAGGGCUCAACCCUGGGAUGCCGGUGGAUACUGUCGGGCUAGAGUGCGGAAGAGGCGAGUGGAAUUCCCGGUGUAGCGGUGAAAUGCGCAGAUAUCGGGAGGAACACCAAUUGCGAAGGCAGCUCGCUGGGACGUCACUGACGCUGAGGCGCGAAAGCAUGGGGAGCGAACAGG